AUGCAGAUCUUUGUGAAGAGCCUCACCGGCAAGACCAUCACCCUCGAGGUCGAGUCCUCGGACACCAUCCACAACGUCAAGGCUAAGAUCCAGGACAAGGAGGGCAUCCCUCCGGACCAGCAGCGUCUCAUCUUUGCUGGCAAGCAGCUCGAGGAUGGCUGCACCCUGGCUGACUACGACAUCCAGAAGGAGUCCACCCUCCACUUGGUGCUAAGGCUCCGUGGUGGCAUGCAGAUCUUUGUGAAGACCCUCACCGACAAGACCAUCACCUUAGGGGUUGAUGUCACGACCCUCAUCGGAUCGGACCAGAAGAGGUAG
rnacentral:rRNA from 1 species